AUAUAUAUAUAUAUGUAUACUUUAUGGGCACCUGGGUGCUUUGGUUUAAUUAAAAAUCUGAGAAACUCGUGUGUGGGGAAAGCCUGUACAGUGAACUCGUGUACGUAGUGAGCAAAAUAGCAAAUGUAAGUGAAACUACCUUGAAGUGGUAGUUGCUUUUGGUUCAUUUCUCGUCCUCAUCCUCCCAGAGAGAAACAUGGGUGUUGCCUCUUGUUUUUGGCUAAUAAACUAGUGAUAAUGUAAUGACGCUGGUUUAAGAGAUGGCUGAAGACCUAAGACAUUCAUUUGUUAGUUCCAAACGACCUUUAUGUCGUGAAACUGUGAAAGUGACGCACAUGUUAUAUGAGCCUGACGUGUUUAUUGGAGGAUAGCUGUAUGUGAGCAGAAUUUUGGUCAAAUGGAUGGGGUCCGACAAUCAAAUAUAGUAAC
rnacentral:misc_RNA from 1 species